rnacentral:rRNA from 1 species
CCUACGGGUGACAGCAGUCGAGAAUCAUUCACAAUGGGGGAAACCCUGAUGGUGCGACGCCGCGUGGGGGAAUGAAGGUCUUCGGAUUGUAAACCCCUGUCAUGUGGGAGCAAAUUAAAAAGAUAGUACCACAAGAGGAAGAGACGGCUAACUCUGUGCCAGCAGCCGCGGUAAUACAGAGGUCUCAAGCGUUGUUCGGAAUCACUGGGCGUAAGGCGUGCGUAGGCUGUUUCGUAAGUCGUGUGUGAAAGGCGCGGGCUCAACCCGCGGACGGCACAUGAUACUGCGAGACUAGAGUAAUGGAGGAGGAACCGGAAUUCUCGGUGUAGCAGUGAAAUGCGUAGAUAUCGAGAGGAACACUCGUGGCGAAGGCGGGUUCCUGGACAUUAACUGACGCUGAGGCACGAAGGCCAGGGGAGCGAAAGGGAUUAGAUACCCUUGUAGUC